rnacentral:snRNA from 1 species
GUGCUUGCUUCGGCAGCACAUAUACUAAAAUUGGAACGAUACAGAGAAGAUUAGCAUGGCCCCUGCGCAAAGGAACCUGACGGAUCUUCUCUGAGGAACCUGACGGAUCU